UACGUAGGGUGCGAGCGUUGUCCGGAAUUACUGGGCGUAAAGAGCUUGUAGGUGGUUUGUCGCGUUGUUCGUGAAAUCUCACGGCUUAACUGUGAGCGUGCGGGCGAUACGGGCAGACUAGAGUACUGCAGGGGAGACUGGAAUUCCUGGUGUAGCGGUGGAAUGCGCAGAUAUCAGGAGGAACACCGGUGGCGAAGGCGGUUCUCUGGGCCUUACCUGACGCUGAGGAGCGAAAGCGUGGGGAGCAAACAGG
rnacentral:rRNA from 1 species